CUGCAGGCUGAAUGUACAGACAGUAUGUGAAGUGUUACAGAAAUGCUUUGUUGUGCAGGUGCUGCUGACAGUGUUUCUCAGUCAGAGAGAAACACAAAGGAAAUUAUCUUGUAUUAUGUCCUCCCUGCUGCGGUUGGGGGAAUUUGUGUCAUUGUGGGGAUCUGCUGUGCGCUCCACUUACUUCGGAAACGAAAAAGGCAAAAUUACGAAGACGACGGCGAUGUCAGUGGUGAACAGGCUGAAGUUGUACGAAGAGUCCGGAGAAACGAGAGCAGGCAGUAUUUGGAGAAAACGAACUCGGUCUACGGACGUUAACAUGAUGAGGACGUAGAGCGAAAAGGGUCACUUUUGCUUUCAACUUCCAUUAAUUGCUGGAGUAUAAAAGAAAGCUUUCUCCUUAAACGAGAGCUUUCUGUCUGCAAUACUCGAAGAUCCUUGAAUCCAGGCUUCCUGUAACGAUGAAGUUAUUUUCCACGACGCGUCUCUGAUCCUCAGUCCAGCGAACUGCCGACCGACGCCGGCAGCGGCACCGGGGGGGGACGAGCGGUUCGUUGAAACGAAUUGUUUUCCCGCCUUGGUUCUCCAGCCCCCCCCCCCGUGUCUGAUGGGUUUGUUGUUUUACUCUAUUUAUUGAUCCUCUUUAACCAUUAACAGGCUCACGGGUUACAAUGUUUUUCCGGGCUGCUCAUGUGUGACAAGUUUUUUUUUAAAAAAAAAAAAAAAAAAAAAAAAAAGUUGAGAAAUCCUUCAGAACUGAUCUGAAUCACGAUUCAGAUCGAGUGUUAACUUUUACAGAAA
rnacentral:lncRNA from 1 species